ensembl:lncRNA
UGGGCUUUGGUGGACUUUAACGCUUUUUAGGAACGUAUUGCAUCAUCUGCGGACAAAGGCAUUUCUGCUUCUUAGGCUUCUUUUCUCGGCGGCUGGUACUAGAGAUCGAAGCCUGCGCCUUGUGCUAGGCGAGGGCCCCACCACUGAGCUACAUCCCCGCCCUUUUACUUUCUGUUUUGCAGUAGGGUCUCAGUAAGCUGCUCAGCCUGGCUUAAACCUUCAGUCCUGCUGCCUCAGCCUCCAGAGUAGCAGGGGUCAUGGGUGUGCGUCACAAUACCCAGCUUGUGCAUUUUAAGUGCUUUCUCUCAACCUGGUGAGAACUCCAUACGAUUUUUGCCUUUUAUCCAGCUAAUGUGAUGACACUGAUUUUUUUCCAAGGAUGUAGCCAACCUUGCCUUCCUGGAAAUAAACCUACUUGAUUAUGAUACUGUGCAGGAAAGAGUUAAAGUGGCAAGCCUGCGUCUGCUCCCCUAGAAAGUGCGGCCUGGGCUGGCUUCCUGCUUCGGGAGACCUUGCAGUCUGAAGGAUCCCCGCCCAUGCAGGGCGGUCCCUGUUCCUGUCUGUGGGGAUGCUGAGCAUCUGUCAUCCUGAGCCUGGAUUUUGGCAGAGGGUCCCCAGAUGACCUCGCCCAGUGUUACUGCGGACGUGGCUGGCAGCCGGGCCUAGCGUGCAGAACUCAGAGCCGGAGCGAGCGGCGGCCUGUGUGGGUCAGGACAGCGGCCUCUUGGAAGCGCUGCUGGCUUCCUCUGGACUCCGCCCAGGCUGAGUUUUAGUCUUGCUGCCCGGGCUCACAGCCCUGGUCCCAGCUACAGGCCCAGUCCUGAGAGCCCCUGCGGAAUCCUUGCGUCCAGAUGUGGCCUUGGGGCUCCAGACACAGAUACAUUAUCUGUAACUCGGAUUUCACCUAGGGCAUUUUUUUUUUUUUUUGCUCUUUCGAGGCAGGCACCGGAACCACUGAGCUAAAUGCCCGGCCCUCACCUAGGGCAUUUUGUUCAGGUCUUCACACAUGUUCACGAGAGAUUUACUUUCUUGUAAGGACUGUGUCUAAUUUGCUAACAAGGUUAAAUUAGCUUCAUAAAAUGAAGUAAAGCCAGGCGUGGUGGUGUACACUGUGAUCUCAGCACUUGGGAGGCUGAGGCAGCAGGAUAGCCAUGAGUUCAAGGCCAGCUUGGUUUACACACUGAAGUCAAGGCCAGCCUGAACACAUGCUGGGGGCCCUGUCUCCAAAAUCCAGAAAAAAAUGUUAUAAAUGAAGUGUGAAGCUCUUUCUGCUCUCUGGAGGGCACUGCAUAAGAUAGACUGAUUGCAGACCCCAGAUGGCGCAGACCCCGGAUGACACAGCCCCGGGAGACGGCAACACAUGAACCCUUCUUCCGUGUUCCCUCUCUGCGCCUGCCCCGACCACGAGAAAAUCACGAUGCGUUCAGCCUAGGCCACUGGCACUAGUCACCUGCCUCCUCUUCCUGUUUGUCUUACAGUACAAAUAAAGAGCACGCUCGACCCCAGGCAGCCAUUAGCUCCCCACAGGCCCUGGCUCCACCUGGUCCCAUCUUUCA